AGGGCGUUCACACGUCAUACAAUGGUCGGUACAGAGGGUUGCCAAGCCGCGAGGCGGAGCCAAUCCCACAAAGCCGAUCGUAGUCCGGAUUGUAGUCUGCAACUCGACUGCAUGAAGUCGGAAUCGCUAGUAAUCGCGGAUCAGCAUGCCGCGGUGAAUACGUUCCCGGGCCUU
rnacentral:rRNA from 1 species